rnacentral:rRNA from 1 species
CUGGGAAACUGCCUGAUGGAGGGGGAUAACUACUGGAAACGGUAGCUAAUACCGCAUAACGUCGCAAGACCAAAGAGGGGGACCUUCGGGCCUCUUGCCAUCGGAUGUGCCCAGAUGGGAUUAGCUUGUUGGUGGGGUAACGGCUCACCAAGGCGACGAUCCCUAGCUGGUCUGAGAGGAUGACCAGCCACACUGGAACUGAGACACGGUCCAGACUCCUACGGGAGGCAGCAGUGGGGAAUAUUGCACAAUGGGCGCAAGCCUGAUGCAGCCAUGCCGCGUGUAUGAAGAAGGCCUUCGGGUUGUAAAGUACUUUCAGCGGGGAGGAAGGGAGUAAAGUUAAUACCUUUGCUCAUUGACGUUACCCGCAGAAGAAGCACCGGCUAACUCCGUGCCAGCAGCCGCGGUAAUACGGAGGGUGCAAGCGUUAAUCGGAAUUACUGGGCGUAAAGCGCACGCAGGCGGUUUGUUAAGUCAGAUGUGAAAUCCCCGGGCUUA